rnacentral:rRNA from 1 species
GUGGCGAAAGGGUGAGUAAGGCGACGGCAACCAACCCCGCGGAGGGGGACAGCCGAGGGAAACCUCGGGUAAUCCCCCAUGACGCCUCGGUGAGGGCAUCCUCAUCAGGCCAAAGGUGCGAGUCCGCCGCGGGACGGGCCGUUGUGGUAUCAGCUAGAUGGUGGGGUCACGGCCCACCAUGGCGAUGACGCCUACCGGGCGUGCGAGCGUGGCCCGGCACACUGGGACUGAGACACUGCCCAGACACCUACGGGUGGCUGCAGUCGAGAAUCUUCGGCAAUGGGCGACAGCCUGACCGAGCGACGCCGCGUGGAGGACGAAGGCCUUCGGGUUGUAAACUCCUGUCGAGGGGGAACAAGGGGUGGUGAAGAAUCAUCCUUGAGUGAUCCCUGGAGGAAGCACGGGCUAAGUUCGUGCCAGCAGCCGCGGUAAGACGAACCGUGCGAACGUUAUUCGGAAUCACUGGGCUUAAAGCGCGUGUAGGCGGAUGGCCGCGUCGGUCGUUGAAAGUCCCCGGCUCAACCGGGGAAUGGGCGCCGAUACGGGCCGUCUGGAGGGGCGUAGGGGGAGCUGGAACUCACGGUGGAGCGGUGAAAUGCGUUGAGAUCGUGAGGAACGCCCGUGGCGAAAGCGAGCUCCUGGACGCCUUCUGACGCUGAGACGCGAAAGCCAGGGGAGCGAACGG